AACGCACAUUGCGCCCAUUGGUAUUCCGAUGGGCAUGCCUGUUCGAGCGUCAUUAUCCUCCCUCAAACCUCGUGUUUGGUGUUGGACCGCGUUGGUCGAGCGACCAACUGGUCUCAAAGAUAGUGACGGCGUCCGUGGGACCCUCGGUGCAACGAGCUUUUAACGAGCACGCGUCGAGUUUCAAGGACCCUCCGGGCCGGUCUAGACCUAUAUCUUUCUCAGGUUGACCUCGGAUCAGGUAGGAAUACCCGCUGAACUUAA
rnacentral:misc_RNA from 1 species